UACGUAGGGUGCAAGCGUUAAUCGGAAUUACUGGGCGUAAAGCGUGCGCAGGCGGUUUUGUAAGUUUGUCGUGAAAUCCCCGGGCUCAACCUGGGAAUGGCGAUGAAGACUGCAAGGCUAGAAUCUGGCAGAGGGGGGGUAGAAUUCCACGUGUAGCAGUGAAAUGCGUAGAGAUGUGGAGGAACACCGAUGGCGAAGGCAGCCCCCUGGGUCAAGAUUGACGCUCAUG
rnacentral:rRNA from 1 species